rnacentral:lncRNA from 1 species
UGUGUCCUUCUUUUGUGUUUAAAUUGAUGUGUGCUUCUUUUGUUCGUACAUAUGCGCUGUUAGUGCUUUUAGUGUAUCGAUGUGUCCUGCUUUGUGUUCAAGUUAAUGUUCUGGUUGUUUAUAUCGAUAAAAGUGGCUUUUGUCUGUACAUAUUUACCUUUUUUUUGUCUAUUAUUUUGUGUUUUUUUGUACAUAUUGAAGUGUGCUACAUGUAUAUAUUGAUGUGUGUCCUACAAGUUUAUAUUGAUUUGUGUGCUGCUUUUGAUUGUACAUAUUGAAGAGUGCUGUCUGCUAAGUGUGUUUGUAUUGAUGUGUGUUGUUUGUUUAUAAUGAUGUAUACUACUUGUGUUUUGAUGUGUGCUUCUUGUUUACAUAGCUGCUUUUGUUCGUACAUAUUUGCUGUUACUGUUUGACAUAUUUUGUGUACUGCUUUUUUGUACAUAUUGAAAUGUGCUACAUGUAUAGAUUGAUGUGUGUGCUACAGACAACAUGUAUGCUACUUUUUUAUAUUGAUGUGUUUUGCUUUUUUUUCCCUUGACAUUAAUAUCGUGUUU